rnacentral:tRNA from 1 species
CGGGCUGUAGCGCAGAUCGGUAGCGCACUUGGUUCGGGACCAAGGGGCCGUGAGUUCAAAUCUCACCAGCCCGA